rnacentral:ribozyme from 1 species
UGCCCAGCAACUCCUAUCCGUAUCUCCUCGUGGUACUGGCCGGGGUACGAGUAACCUUAGGGAAGAUCGGGUAACCAACCCCCGGUGGGAACUUUGGUCGUAUGCUGACAGGGAAGG